rnacentral:rRNA from 1 species
AUGGCCAUCGCCGGCAGCGGGAGGGGCAAGGCGAAGCCCGCCGCCAGCGCCAAGUCCGUGUCCCGGUCGUCCAAGGCCGGCCUGCAGUUCCCCGUCGGCCGCGUCGCCCGCUACCUCAAAGUCGGCAAGUACGCGCAGCGCGUCGGCGCCGGCGCCCCCGUCUACCUGGCCGCCGUUCUCGAGUACCUCGCCGCAGAGACCCUGGAGCUCGCUGGGAACGCGGCGCGGGACAACAAGAAGAACCGGAUCGUGCCGCGCCACAUCCAGCUGGCGGUGCGCAACGACGAGGAGCUGAGCCGGCUGCUGGGCUCGGUCACCAUCGCCGCCGGCGGGGUGCUGCCCAGCAUCCACACCACGCUCCUCCGCAAGAAGGCCGGCAAGGGCAAGGGCGACAUCGGCUCCGCUUCCCAGGAGUUUUAG